GACGAACGCUGGCGGCGUGCCUAAUACAUGCAAGUCGAACGCAUUUUCUUUCACCGUAGCUUGCUACACCGAAAGAAAAUGAGUGGCGAACGGGUGAGUAACACGUGGGUAACCUGCCCAUCAGCGGGGGAUAACACUUGGAAACAGGUGCUAAUACCGCAUAAUUCCAUUUACCGCAUGGUAAAUGGAUGAAAGGCGCUUUUGCGUCACUGAUGGAUGGACCCGCGGUGCAUUAGCUAGUUGGUGGGGUAACGGCCUACCAAGGCUGCGAUGCAUAGCCGACCGGAGAGGGUGAUCGGCCACACUGGGACUGAGACACGGCCCAGACUCCUACGGGAGGCAGCAGUAGGGAAUCUUCGGCAAUGGACGCAAGUCUGACCGAGCAACGCCGCGUGAGUGAAGAAGGUUUUCGGAUCGUAAAACUCUGUUGUUAGAGAAGAUCAAGGAUGAGAGUGGAAAGUUCAUCCCUUGACGGUAUCUAACCAGAAAGCCACGGCUAACUACGUG
rnacentral:rRNA from 1 species